UGAUUGAAUGCCAUAAUUGUGUACGUUUCUGAAUCUAUGAGGAGCUGGAGGGGUACGGCGAAGAUUUUACAGUGAGAAAAGAGUCGGCCAAGUUCGUCGGGAUCAAAUCCUAUGUUAGAAGUAUGGGCUGAGUAUGAUAUGGGCUUUACUUCUUACGUGUAUUCGAGCUAUUUUAUUAUAUGAAACUCGUAACUGAACCAAAGCCCAUUUAUUCUAUAAAACUCGUAAUUGAACCAAAGCUCAUAAACAUCACAAGAAAACAAAAAUGAAGAGGACACGUGUCUAAAAACGCUCAUACCUCCGUGCUGACGUGGCGGCUUGAAAAAGGAGGUAAGUCUACUUUAUUAUUAUAGAUAGAUAGAUAGAUAGAUAGAUAGAUAGGUAGAUAAAUAGAUGUUAUAGAUAAUGAGUGACUUUCUACUCUUUUCUAAGCUUAUCCACGUGUUUUCAUGGGACCUACAUAAGUAAAUUAGAUGUUUGUUACAAUUGCUUGAUGCAAACCGUGUAUAUUGAAUGUUGGGCCAGUUAUUAUUUCUAAAACCCAUUAAGAAACCACCUUUAUAUGUACUUUCUUGAUAUGCAUGUAUGUGGAUUCCGGAGCCCGUAACAAGUUUAUACGGUGAUGAAGGUUGGAGACUAGGUCAAAUUGAGUAUUCAUUCCUUCCGACGAUGGACCGUCACUCUCUGGACCGAUGUGAUAAUCCCUUUUCCAUUAAACUCUCUAUCUCCCCCUUACUCCAGAUCCCACUCUUUAUCUCCUUGGAUGAAGAGCUGUUGUUCUCUGAACCCUGCAACAACAUCCUGGUUACAUUAAUUUUUUAACUCCACAAAGCUUUCCAUCUCCCUCUCUUACUAUCAAAACCGCUAGCGUAAAAAUGAGACGAUAUGGCAUACUCUGUUAUAGUUGUCACCACGGUUAAUCCCAGAAAAUUUGAAGGUAACCUAUUUCUGAACUCCACACCGGCGACUAAAUUCUAUUUUCACACCAACAUUGCUGCCAUCGAAGCGGUCACCGCCAGGUUUGUCGCAAAUCUGACUUAAAUAUAGACAACCAACAACUUUCGCUACAGUUCCAACCCAAGCUUCUGUACUUUCGCUACCGUCUUUAGGGGAAUUAACAUAAUGUCAAGGUUUCAGUAACAAUCUUGAUGUUUUCAUAACUUACAGACGACAAACACAAAAGCUUGUGUUUGAAGUUGAGCUUCCCAAGUAAAAUACAUAUGGGACGUGAAAUAUGCAUAUAUCUUACAUAUGCAUCUUUGAAUUAGUAUGUUUGUAACAUUUUCCCCAGUCCAUUGUAUUUCAGUCAAAUGUCAUUCACUACAACUAAUUAGAGUUUGGAGAAGCAGCUGAAAGACAUGGUGAAGCGUGGAAAGAAUCUGAAAGUGAAGGUAAGUUUUUCUUCAUUGAAUAUUUACAUUUAACAAGGCGGCUGUUUAAAUAUUUAUUUGUUUUAAACUAUUAUAAACAUAGACAAAGCAUGUAAAGAAUGGAAAAACUGUUUCAAGCGGUUAUGAUUAUGUAGAAUCCGACUGUACAGAGAUGUCAAAUAUAUAAUAGUUUGUGACUUUGUCUCUUUGAAACUUCGCUUUAAUUGGAUUUGAGGAAUUACAGUGACACUUUUCGGUUUAAUUUCAUGGAAUUUCUAUGGAUGGGCAUGCUGUCAAGUUGAGGUUUCCUGAACACAAGCGGAGGGACACGGCUGGGAGGUUUGAGAUAAUAUUCCAAUUUCCAACAAAGUUAAAUGUUAAAGUUGUUGCUGUUGCGGCAACCGAAAGAGCUAAGAAAGCUUUUCAGCACAAUGAACACGUAAUAAUAACUGCUGAAGUUUAGGUCUUAUGCGUCCUUUUGGGUAAAGAUUUUCGUUGCAACUUGCAAGUCACAACAAGGAGAUGUGUCAUUAGUCUUGGAUUUACUAUUCUUAGAAACAUCAAUCACAAUUAUUCAUGUUUCUUUGUGUAUGCAAAGCUUCCAAAGAGGAACAUGGAACAGUACUCAAGUAACGGUUUUGUUGGUUUCAUGCCAAAGCAAGAGACUCCAAAUGCGAGAAUGCAUGGUCGAGCACCCAUCCCUAUAGACGCCAUUUGAUGACCGAGUGGGCCAAAGAUGACAAUAGCAUGGAAGAGAAGAGGCGACGCUCAACUGGUAAGUAUAAAGAAAAUGAUCUUCCAAAGAGAAGAAGAACAGCAGAAUAACCACACCCCCUCUAUUAAAAAGUUGGUUUUAUAAGUCACCACUGUGAUCGAUAAUUCUGAGUUAUUGAACUUUUACUCUGUACUAACUUAAUAUACUGGACUAUUAAUUUAUGCUUUCUGUUUUUUUAAUUUAAA